UACGUAGGCAGCAAGCGUUGUUCGGAAUUACUGGGCGUAAAGAGUGUGUAGGCGGUGCUCUAAGUUCGGUGUGAAAUCUCCCGGCUCAACUGGGAGGGUGCGCCGGAAACUGGGGUGCUGGAGCGCGGGAGAGGAAAGCGGAAUUCCUGGGUGUAGCGGUGAAAUGCGUAGAUAUCAGGAGGAACACCGGCGGUGUAGACGGCUUUCUGGACUCGUAGCUGACGCUGAGACACGAAAGCGUGGGUAGCAAACAG
rnacentral:rRNA from 1 species